rnacentral:rRNA from 1 species
GACGAACGCUGGCGGCGUGCUUAACACAUGCAAGUCGAACGGAAAGGCCCUGCUUUUGUGGGGUGCUCGAGUGGCGAACGGGUGAGUAACACGUGAGUAACCUGCCCUUGACUUUGGGAUAACUUCAGGAAACUGGGGCUAAUACCGGAUAGGAGCUCCUGCUGCAUGGUGGGGGUUGGAAAGUUUCGGCGGUUGGGGAUGGACUCGCGGCUUAUCAGCUUGUUGGUGGGGUAGUGGCUUACCAAGGCUUUGAAGGGUAGCCGGCCUGAGAGGGUGACCGGCCACAUUGGGACUGAGAUACGGCCCAGACUCCUACGGGAGGCAGCAGUGGGGAAUAUUGCACAAUGGGCGGAAGCCUGAUGCAGCAACGCCGCGUGCGGGAUGACGGCCUUCGGGUUGUAAACCGCUUUCGCCUGUGACGAAGCGUGAGUGACGGUAAUGGGUAAAGAAGCACCGGCUAACUACGUG